rnacentral:rRNA from 1 species
CCCUUAGAUGUUCUGGGCUGCACGCGCGCUACACUGAUGCGUUCAACGAGUUACUUCCUUCCUCGACAGGGGUGGGUAAUCUUGUGAACACGCAUCGUGAUGGGGAUAGAUUAUUGCAAUUAUUAAUCUUCAACGAGGAAUUCCUAGUAAGUGCGAGUCAUCAGCUCGUGCUGAUUACGUCCCUGCCCUUUGUACACACCGCCCGUCGCUCCUACCGAUUGAGUGGUCCGGUGAGGCUUUGGGAUCUGAGCGGAAAGAGCGUUUCGCUGUUUCUGCUCGGAAAACUCAGUCGAACCUUAUCAUUUAGAGGAAGGAGAAGUCGUAACA